AUUGUAUCAGAGCCUCAUCCUUCAUCAAUAGAAAUUCUUUUCCUCUCUAAAUUCUCUGUUCUUCACACAAAGCUUUCAUGGUAUCGAGAGCCAGGUUCGAUUGGGAUCUGAAUUUUUCGCCGGCAACCUAGAAUUUCUUCAAGAAACUCAUGCUUUCUAUCUCUAUUCUGCUUAUGAUUCAAGUACCAGUAGUGAAAUUCAAGCUAUUCAGAUAAGUUCAUUCUUCAUCUUCGUGGAUCAAGGUUGUUCUGAAAUUUCAUCAAGAUUGUUAAGAUUUGCUGUUAAUUAUCUACAUCGAAGCAUUGAAUUUGUGUUCUAAAGAUUAUUACUGAUUGAAGGAAGUUAUUCAUGGAGAUUUGUUAAAAGAUUGAAGGAAAAGUGAUAACCCUAGAUCUGUUGAAGAAACUCAUACUUUGAUUCUACUACUUGUUGAACAAACUGAUACUAGUUCGUGAUCAAUACCUGAAUUCUAUACAAGUUUAUUGUCGGAAUCUCUUAUAUUUGAGGAAGAUAAUAUUGUUUGGGAAAUUUGUUACAAUUGGGGAAAUCCGCUUUGAAGAAUUUGGUAUUCGUCAUAGUUGGAGAAAGGUUGAUAACAUUUUUUUUUGGACUAGAUUUGCCAUUCAUGUGUUGCUGCAAUCACUACGUCAACAAUGGCAUCAGACAACAUGCUUCAGACAACUGCAAAAUUUUUAACUGCCGUCUGAUACUUUGGGACGACAGCAAAAAUUAUUGUGUCGUCUGAAUUUUGAAUCACACAACAAUUGUUACAUUGCUGUUGUGCAAUUUUAAAUCAAACAAUGAUUGUUUUUCUGAUGUUGUCUGAAUCAAUUAAUUCAGACAACAGUUAUUUCAUUGAUGUUGUCCAAGGUUGAUUAACACAAUAGUUGAGCAAAUAUGUUGUCUGAUUGUUUUUAAUCACACAAUAGUUAUUACUUCUCUAUUGUGCAACUAUUAUUCAGACAAUUGUGGCAUUUUGAUGUUGUUUGAGUAAUUUAAUUCAAACACUAGUUUUUCUGUAUAUGUUGUGUGAUUGUUAUUCAGAUAAUGUUAUUAUUUGAUGUUGUUUGACUAUAUCUUUAGACAAUAGUUUUUUUUUUGUGUCUGUUGCGCGAUUAUUAGUCAUAUAAUGUUAAUAUUUGAUGUUGUCUUGCUAUAUAUUCAGACAACAGUUUAUCUAUGUCUGCUGUGUAACUCUACUUCACAUAAUGACUGUGUGUUUCUGUUGUCUAUGUUUUUAAACACUGCUGCCCUAAUUGAAUUCCCACACUUUUUGGCCAAAAUUCAAUUUUUCACCUCCAUCCAUUUCGGUGUCUACACGGCGUCGUUUUAACACUCAUACUCGUCUUUCAUUAAGGACGAGACCGACAACAACAAGAUCAAGGCCGAGCUCUGGUUCGACUCCGCCACAGCCUACGCCCCUUCCCGUACGAUUCCCUAUCUCUCUUCUCUUUUCUUUAUUCUUCAAUUCUUGUCAAUUCCUUGUCGAUUCCCUAUCCCUCUUCUCUUUCUUUCCAAAUUAGGGAUUUAGGUUUUCUUCUUUUUAAUUCGACUACUUCAAUUGGAGUAAUUAGGGUUUUAAUGGGUUUUCAAUCUUUAUGUGCGGGUGUUGAUUAUUUCAGGAAUUGAAGUGAUAUGGGUUUUACCGCGAUCUCAUCUUGGUAUAUGAUGUAUUUAGGGAUUAUGAGUAUUUUGGAGGUAUAUGAUGUUGCUUGCUUUGUGUAUUUUGCUUUCUUCACUGUUUUUUGGUGCUAGAAAGUUGGUUGAUUUGGCCGGGGUGAAUUGAAUUGGGUUUUCGUGGAAAUGUUUGUGUUGAUUGGGUUCUUAAUGGUGUUUUCAAGUGAAACGCAUGGUGGUUAGUACGUAUUAGGCUGGUAGUGGAGCUGCGGUUGUGUGAUUUGGGGCAUUCUUUCAUCAAAGCUGGCCAGGUGGGAUUCAGACAUCAACUUGUAUUUCAAUAUCUAGAGAUGGUGCUCUGAAGUGUAUGCCGGACGAAGAUUUUCCUUGUUCUUGAAAACAGACAUGAUAUUAUCAAAGAAGAUUACAUGAAUGAACUUUGCAUUCUCCAAGAUGAUGGGACCCUUCCCCAACCAGGCAAAUUUUGUUGCGUCUCUUAGCAAGGCACAGACCAAGAAGGUUGCACGGUUCCUUCCAAACCUGGAAAGGCAUUGAGGUCCAAAGCUUAGGGCAGGUCAUCAAAUCACAGCAAGCACAUUUCUCUCUUGGGUCCAUAGGCUAUCGAUGAAAUUCUUAACUAGGAAGAAGAUGGCGAGGAACACAAUGCUAAGCGUCAAAAGACUAAAGAUAAUCCGCCCUCAGGUUGAUGAAAUGAAGGUCCUUGGUAUGUCAAUCAAGUUCACCUAGAGCUCCACACCCUUCCCAGCCAGUAAAUCUGGAGAGAGGAGAGAGAGACGGAGAGAUCUCUUUGAUUCAUCCCGCUAAGGCUAGUAUGGAACUAUUGUUACAUUUAUACAAGUCCAAAUAUUGUUCAUCAUAGGUUUAUUGCUUUCUUUCGAUGCUAUUGCAUUGCCCCAUGUACUCCUUAGUUUCAUCUAAUAAAUAUUGUUGUUCUUCCAUGCAAGAAAAUGUA